GGGUGUGUUGGAUAGAUUGUCAGACUAGGACUCCGGAAACUCGAACUCCAAUUCCUGCUCUAGGAGAAAAACAUCACCAGGCAAUUGCAAUGUAAAAUACUCCUUAAAUAUCUCAUUCACCCAUAAACAACCUGAAGGAACUUAAAUCAAUUUGAGAGCCAUCUCAGACCAGAAACACAAGAAAGAAGACAGGAGGUGUAAUCGGUUUAAACGGCUUUGAAGACCCAAAGGCCAUGCACAAGAUCAAACACCGCAUAGGCAUAGCCUUGUCAAAAUAUCAGGGGCUCCUGUGCAACUGAGCCAGUAGUCAACCCCCUCAACCUCACCAGACAAUGACUUACUUCAGGAUGUGCUACUGGUAUAUAUGCUGCCACUGCUGCCUGUGUCAUGGUCUCACAUCCACCUUUGCACUGAUGACAGGAAGCUGCCUGUUGCCACCAAUCAGCUGAUCCACUAGUCAGCUGAAUGUCAGGAUCAUUGCCCAAGCUGCUACACUGCCAUGAAGCUGUUCUACCACAGAGCUGAUAAUCGAGAUAGUCCAGGUUUCCAUGUAGCCCAGGAGGCCUCCACCACGGCCACCAAGCGGCUCACCACCAGGCCGAUCAGCCCAACCUGGCUGGGCACCCCUCCCUGAAGCACUGCUGGCAGGCCAUGAUUAGCUUGGAAGUCCUCCGGUGCUAAGGCUCCUGUGAGGGAGAAGUUCCCCUUCUCGGGCCUACCUGCAUCCCUGCUCACUGGGUUGCAAACCGAGUCCCUCAGCAGGCAGUGCAAGGAAUCCUCACUUGCUUCCAAGGAAGUAUCUUCAGAUAAGGAAUGUGUUGGCUGAUUAAUCCAGAACAAAUGAUAUUUGUAGAAAUUUAUAGGAAGCACCUGAAGGAAAGAUGGGCAAAGUAUUUGGCCACUGUUCUGGGAAGGAUGACAGAACUGAACUAUCCAUACCUCACAAAAAUAUGAGGAAAAAAAUCUGAUGAGUUUUCAUGUACAUACCGCCCAAACUGUAGUGUCAAAAGCCAAAAAAAAAGAGAGGGGAGACAGGCAAAAUUUAAGAGCACAAUAAAUAUAC